AGAAUCAACGCUGGCGGCGUGCCUAACACAUGCAAGUCGAACGAGAAAGUGGAGCAAUCCAUGAGUAAAGUGGCGCACGGGUGAGUAACACGUGACUAACCUACCCUUGAGUGGGGGAUAACCUAGAGAAAUCUGGGCUAAUACCGCAUAAUACCUUCGGGUCAAAGGAGCAAUUCGCUUUAGGAGGGGGUCGCGGCCGAUUAGGUUAGUUGGCGGGUAAUGGCCCACCAAGACUGUGAUCGGUAUCC
rnacentral:rRNA from 1 species